CAUAGUUGUCAAGGCGGCAAAGCGAUCCAAGGCAUGCAGUAUAUGACUAUGUAAUAUAGCAAUGAUAAUUUAUAUAAUUAUGCUUAUAUGCAACAUAGAAGUUAUAUCAAUGCAACUGAUAUAAUUAAGCUAGUAAUGACCUACAAUGAGAAAACCAACAU